rnacentral:rRNA from 1 species
GGGGAAUAUUGGACAAUGGGGGCAACCCUGAUCCAGCCAUGCCGCGUGAGUGAUGAAGGCCUUAGGGUUGUAAAGCUCUUUCAGUGGGGAAGAUAAUGACGGUACCCACACAAGAAGCCCCGGCUAACUUCGUGCCAGCAGCCGCGGUAAUACGAAGGGGGCUAGCGUUGUUCGGAUUUACUGGGCGUAAAGCGCACGUAGGCGGAUUGGUCAGUUAGGGGUGAAAUCCCGGAGCUCAACUCCGGAACUGCCUUUAAUACUGCCAGUCUAGAGUCCGAGAGAGGUGAGUGGAACUCCUAGUGUAGAGGUGGAAUUCGUAGAUAUUGGGAAGAACACCAGUGGCGAAGGCGGCUCACUGGCUCGGUACUGACGCUGAGGUGCGAAAGCGUGGGGAGCAAAC